rnacentral:rRNA from 1 species
CGGUACAACGAGAAGCGAACCUGCGAAGGCAAGCGGAUCUCUUAAAGCCGUUCUCAGUUCGGACUGUAGGCUGCAACUCGCCUACACGAAGCUGGAAUCGCUAGUAAUCGCGGAUCAGCACGCCGCGGUGAAUACGUUCCCGGGCCUUGUACACACCGCCCGUCACACCAUGGGAGCCGGAAACGCCCGAAGCCAGUGGCCUGACCGUAAGGAGGGAGCUGUCGAAGGCGGGUCCGGUGACCGGGGUGAAGUCGUAACAAGGUAAC